rnacentral:rRNA from 1 species
GACGAACGCUGGCGGCGUGCUUAACACAUGCAAGUCGAACGGAAAGGCCCUGCUGUUGUGGGGUGCUCGAGUGGCGAACGGGUGAGUAACACGUGAGUAACCUGCCCUUGACUUUGGGUUAACUUCAGGAAACUGGGGCUAAUACCGGAUAGGAGCACCUGCUGCAUGGUGGGGGUUGGAAAGUUUCGGCGGUUGGGGAUGGACUCGCGGCUUAUCAGCUUGUGGGUGGGGCAGUGGCUUACCAAGGCUUUGACGGGUAGCCGGCCUGAGAGGGUGACCGGCCACAAUGGGACUGAGAUACGGCCCAGACUCGUACGGGAGGCAGCAGUGGGGAAUAUUGCACAAUGGGGGGACGCCUGAUGCGGCAACGUCGCGUGCGGGAUGACGGCCUUCGGGUUGUAAACCGCUUUCGCCUGUGACGAAGCGUGAGUGACGGUAAUGGGUAAAGAAGCACCGGCUAACUACGUG